UACGUAGGUGGCAAGCGUUGUCCGGAAUUAUUGGGCGUAAAGCGCGCGCAGGCGGUCUCUUAAGUCUGAUGUGAAGGCCCCCGGCUCAACCGGGGAGGGUCAUUGGAAACUGGGAGACUUGAGUGCAGAAGAGAAGAGUGGAAUUCCACGUGUAGCGGUGAAAUGCGUAGGGAUGUGGAGGAACACCAGUGGCGAAGGCGACUCUUUGGUCUGUAACUGACGCUGAGGCGCAAAAGCGUGGGGAGCAAACAGG
rnacentral:rRNA from 1 species